ACGAGCGCAACCCUUGUCCUAUGUUGCCAGCGCGUAAUGGCGGGGACUCGUGGGAGACUGCCGGCNACAAGUCGGAGGAAGGUGGGGACNACNUCAAGUCAUCAUGCCCCUUAUGCCCAGGGCUGCAAACAUGCUACAAUGGCCGGUACAAAGGGCUGCNAAACCGUGAGGUCAAGCGAAUCCCAUAAAGCCGGUCUCANUUCGGAUUGGAGUCUGCAACUCGACUCCAUGAAGCCGGAGUCGCUAGUAAUCCCGGAUCANCAACGCCGGGGUGAAUACUUUCCCGGGCCUUGCACACACCCCCCGU
rnacentral:rRNA from 1 species